GCGACUAAGCGUACACGGUGGAUGCCCUGGCAGUCAGAGGCGAUGAAGGGCGUACUAAUCUGCGAUAAGCGCCGGUAAGGUGAUAUGAACCGUUAUAACCGGCGAUACCCGAAUGGGGAAACCCAGUGUGAUUCGUCACACUAUCAUUAACUGAAUCCAUAGGUUAAUGAGGCGAACCGGGGGAACUGAAACAUCUAAGUACCCCGAGGAAAAGAAAUCAACCGAGAUUCCCCCAGUAGCGGCGAGCGAACGGGGAGGAGCCCAGAGCCUGAAUCAGCAUGUGUGUUAGUGGAAGCGUCUGGAAAGGCGCGCGAUACAGGGUGACAGCCCCGUACACAAAAGCGCAUGUGCUGUGAGCUCGAUGAGUAGGGCGGGACACGUGGUAUCCUGUCUGAAUAUGGGGGGACCAUCCUCCAAGGCUAAAUACUCCUGACUGACCGAUAGUGAACCAGUACCGUGAGGGAAAGGCGAAAAGAACCCCGGCGAGGGGAGUGAAAAAGAACCUGAAACCGUGUACGUACAAGCAGUGGGAGCCCCACCACCAAAGCAUUUGCUGUACCGCGUUGACGGAGCGAAGCGACGUCAAACCG
rnacentral:rRNA from 1 species